rnacentral:rRNA from 1 species
AUGGGCGAAAGCCUGAUGCAGCGACGCCACGUGAGGGAUGACGGCCUUCGGGUUGUAAACCUCUUUCAGCAGGGAAGAAGCGCAAGUGACGGUACCUGCAGAAGAAGCGCCGGCUAACUACGUGCCAGCAGCCGCGGUAAUACGUAGGGCGCAAGCGUUGUCCGGAAUUAUUGGGCGUAAAGAGCUCGUAGGCGGUCUGUCGCGUCUGGUGUGAAAUCUCAUGGCUCAACUGUGAGCUUGCAUCGGGUACGGGCAGACUAGAGUGCUGUAGGGGAGACUGGAAUUCCUGGUGUAGCGGUGGAAUGCGCAGAUAUCAGGAGGAACACCGAUGGCGAAGGCAGGUCUCUGGGCAGUUACUGACGCUGAGGAGCGAAAGCAUGGGGAGCGAACAGGAUUAGAUACCCUGGUAGUCCAUGCCGUAAACGUUGGGCACUAGGUGUGGGGCCAGUUCCACUGGUUCUGUGCCGUAGCUAACGCAUUAAGUGCCCCGCCUGGGGAGUACGGCCGCAAGGCUAAAACUCAAAGGAAUUGACGGGGGCCCGCACAAGCGGCGGAGCAUGCGGAUUAAUUCGAUGCAACGCGAAGAACCUUACCAAGGCUUGACAUGUACGAGAAAGCCCCAGAGAUGGGGUUCUCUUUGGACACUCGUACACAGGUGGUGCAUGGUUGUCGUCAGCUCGUGUCGUGAGAUGUUGGGUUAAGUCCCGCAACGAGCGCAACCCUUGUCUCAUGUUGCCAGCGGGUUAUGCCGGGGACUCAUGGGAGACUGCCGGGGUCAACUCGGAGGAAGGUGGGGAUGACGUCAAAUCAUCAUGCCCCUUAUGUCUUGGGCUUCACGCAUGCUACAAUGGCCGGUACAGAGGGCUGCGAUACCGUGAGGUGGAGCGAAUCCCAAAAAGCCGGUCUCAGUUCGGAUCGGGGUCUGCAACUCGACCCCGUGAAGUCGGAGUCGCUAGUAAUCGCAGAUCAGCAACGCUGCGGUGAAUACGUUCCCGGGCCUUGUACACACCGCCCGUCAAGUCACGAAAGUUGGUAACACCCGAAGCUC